CGAAUGGGGAAACCCAGCAUGAGUUAUGUCAUGUUAUCGAUAUGUGAAUACAUAGCAUAUCAGAAGGCACACCCGGAGAACUGAAACAUCUUAGUACCCGGAGGAAGAGAAAGAAAAUUCGAUUCCCUUAGUAGCGGCGAGCGAAACGGGAAGAGCCCAAACCAACAAGCUUGCUUGUUGGGGUUGUAGGACACUCUGUACGGAGUUACAAAGGACGACAUUAGACGAAUCAUCUGGAAAGAUGAAUCAAAGAAGGUAAUAAUCCUGUAGUCGAAAAUGUUGUCUCUCUUGAGUGGAUCCUGAGUACGACGGAGCACGUGAAAUUCCGUCGGAAUCUGGGAGGACCAUCUCCUAAGGCUAAAUACUCUCUAGUGACCGAUAGUGAACCAGUACCGUGAGGGAAAGGUGAAAAGCACCCCGGAAGGGGAGUGAAAUAGAACCUGAAACCGUGUGCUUACAAGUAGUCAGAGCCCGUUAAUGGGUGAUGGCGUGCCUUUUGUAGAAUGAACCGGCGAGUUACGAUUUGAUGCAAGGUUAAGCAGUAAAUGUGGAGCCGUAGCGAAAGCGAGUCUGAAUAGGGCGUUUAGUAUUUGGUCGUAGACCCGAAACCAGGUGAUCUACCCUUGGUCAGGUUGAAGUUCAGGUAACACUGAAUGGAGGACCGAACCGACUUACGUUGAAAAGUGAGCGGAUGAACUGAGGGUAGCGGAGAAAUUCCAAUCGAACCUGGAGAUAGCUGGUUCUCUCCGAAAUAGCUUUAGGGCUAGCCUCAAGUGAUGAUUAUUGGAGGUAGAGCACUGUUUGGACGAGGGGCCCCUCUCGGGUUACCGAAUUCAGACAAACUCCGAAUGCCAAUUAAUUUAACUUGGGAGUCAGAACAUGGGUGAUAAGGUCCGUGUUCGAAAGGGAAACAGCCCAGACCACCAGCUAAGGUCCCAAAAUAUAUGUUAAGUGGAAAAGGAUGUGGCGUUGCCCAGACAACUAGGAUGUUGGCUUAGAAGCAGCCAUCAUUUAAAGAGUGCGUAAUAGCUCACUAGUCGAGUGACACUGCGCCGAAAAUGUACCGGGGCUAAACAUAUUACCGAAGCUGUGGAUUGUCCUUUGGACAAUGGUAGGAGAGCGUUCUAAGGGCGUUGAAGCAUGAUCGUAAGGACAUGUGGAGCGCUUAGAAGUGAGAAUGCCGGUGUGAGUAGCGAAAGACGGGUGAGAAUCCCGUCCACCGAUUGACUAAGGUUUCCAGAGGAAGGCUCGUCCGCUCUGGGUUAGUCGGGUCCUAAGCUGAGGCCGACAGGCGUAGGCGAUGGAUAACAGGUUGAUAUUCCUGUACCACCUAUAAUCGUUUUAAUCGAUGGGGGGACGCAGUAGGAUAGGCGAAGCGUGCGAUUGGAUUGCACGUCUAAGCAGUAAGGCUGAGUAUUAGGCAAAUCCGGUACUCGUUAAGGCUGAGCUGUGAUGGGGAGAAGACAUUGUGUCUUCGAGUCGUUGAUUUCACACUGCCGAGAAAAGCCUCUAGAUAGAAAAUAGGUGCCCGUACCGCAAACCGACACAGGUAGUCAAGAUGAGAAUUCUAAGGUGAGCGAGCGAACUCUCGUUAAGGAACUCGGCAAAAUGACCCCGUAACUUCGGGAGAAGGGGUGCUCUUUAGGGUUAACGCCCAGAAGAGCCGCAGUGAAUAGGCCCAAGCGACUGUUUAUCAAAAACACAGGUCUCUGCUAAACCGUAAGGUGAUGUAUAGGGGCUGACGCCUGCCCGGUGCUGGAAGGUUAAGAGGAGUGGUUAGCUUCUGCGAAGCUACGAAUCGAAGCCCCAGUAAACGGCGGCCGUAACUAUAACGGUCCUAAGGUAGCGAAAUUCCUUGUCGGGUAAGUUCCGACCCGCACGAAAGGCGUAACGAUUUGGGCACUGUCUCAACGAGAGACUCGGUGAAAUCAUAGUACCUGUGAAGAUGCAGGUUACCCGCGACAGGACGGAAAGACCCCGUGGAGCUUUACUGUAGCCUGAUAUUGAAAUUCGGCACAGCUUGUACAGGAUAGGUAGGAGCCUUUGAAACGUGAGCGCUAGCUUACGUGGAGGCGCUGGUGGGAUACUACCCUAGCUGUGUUGGCUUUCUAACCCGCACCACUUAUCGUGGUGGGAGACAGUGUCAGGCGGGCAGUUUGACUGGGGCGGUCGCCUCCUAAAAGGUAACGGAGGCGCUCAAAGGUUCCCUCAGAAUGGUUGGAAAUCAUUCAUAGAGUGUAAAGGCAUAAGGGAGCUUGACUGCGAGACCUACAAGUCGAGCAGGGUCGAAAGACGGACUUAGUGAUCCGGUGGUUCCGCAUGGAAGGGCCAUCGCUCAACGGAUAAAAGCUACCCCGGGGAUAACAGGCUUAUCUCCCCCAAGAGUUCACAUCGACGGGGAGGUUUGGCACCUCGAUGUCGGCUCAUCGCAUCCUGGGGCUGUAGUCGGUCCCAAGGGUUGGGCUGUUCGCCCAUUAAAGCGGUACGCGAGCUGGGUUCAGAACGUCGUGAGACAGUUCGGUCCCUAUCCGUCGUGGGCGUAGGAAAUUUGAGAGGAGCUGUCCUUAGUACGAGAGGACCGGGAUGGACAUACCUCUGGUGUACCAGUUGUCGUGCCAACGGCAUAGCUGGGUAGCUAUGUGUGGACGGGAUAAGUGCUGAAAGCAUCUAAGCAUGAAGCCCCCCUCAAGAUGAGAUUUCCCAACUUCGGUUAUAAGAUCCCUCAAAGAUGAUGAGGUUAAUAGGUUCGAGGUGGAAGCAUGGUGACAUGUGGAGCUGACGAAUACUAAUCGAUCGAAGACUUAAUCAA
rnacentral:rRNA from 2 species